AGUGAACGCUGGCGGUAGGCCUAACACAUGCAAGUCGAACGGCAGCACAGGAGAGCCUGCUCUCUGGGUGGCGAGUGGCGGACGGGUGAGGAAUACAUCGGAAUCUACUUUUUCGUGGGGGAUAACGUAGGGAAACUUACGCUAAUACCGCAUACGACCUACGGGUGAAAGCAGGGGACCUUCGGGUCUUGCGCGAUUGAAUGAGCCGAUGUCGGAUUAGCUAGUUGGCGGGGUAAAGGCCCACCAAGGCGACGAUCCGGAGCUGGUCUGAGAGGAUGAUCAGCCACACUGGAACUGAGACACGGUCCAGACUCCUACGGGAGGCAGCAGUGGGGAAUAUUGGACAAUGGGCGCAAGCCUGAUCCAGCCAUACCGCGUGGGUGAAGAAGGCCUUCGGGUUGUAAAGCCCUUUUGUUGGGAAAGAAAUCCAGCUGGCUAAUACCCGGUUGGGAUGACGGUACCCAAAGAAUAAGCACCGGCUAACUUCGUGCCAGCCGCCGCCGUAA
rnacentral:rRNA from 1 species